rnacentral:rRNA from 1 species
AGAGUUUGAUCCUGGCUCAGAGUGAACGCUGGCGGUAGGCCUAACACAUGCAAGUCGAACGGCAGCACAGAGGAGCUUGCUCCUUGGGUGGCGAGUGGCGGACGGGUGAGGAAUACAUCGGAAUCUACUCUGUCGUGGGGGAUAACGUAGGGAAACUUACGCUAAUACCGCAUACGACCUACGGGUGAAAGCAGGGGAUCUUCGGACCUUGCGCGAUUGAAUGAGCCGAUGUCGGAUUAGCUAGUUGGCGGGGUAAAGGCCCACCAGGGCGACGAUCCGUAGCUGGUCUGAGAGGAAGAUCAGCCACACUGGAACUGAGACACGGUCCAGACUCCUACGGGAGGCAGCAGUGGGGAAUAUUGGACAAUGGGCGCAAGCCUGAUCCAGCCAUACCGCGUGGGUGAAGAUGGCCUUCGGGUUGUAAAGCCCUUUUGUUGGGAGAGAAAUCCAGCUGGCUAAUACCCGGUUGGGAUGACGGUACCCAAAGAAUAAGCACCGGCUAACUUCGUGCCAGCAGCCGCGGUAAUACGAAGGGUGCAAGCGUUACUCGGAAUUACUGGGCGUAAAGCGUGCGUAGGUGGUCGUUCAAGUCCGUUGUGAAAGCCCUGGGCUCAACCUGGGAACUGCAGUGGAUACUGGGCGACUAGAGUGUGGUAGAGGGUAGCGGAAUUCCUGGUGUAGCAGUGAAAUGCGUAGAGAUCGGGAGGAACAUCCAUGGCGAAGGCAGCUACCUGGACCAACACUGACACUGAGGCACGAAAGCGUGGGGAGCAAACAGGAUUAGAUACCCUGGUAGUCCACGCCCUAAACGAUGCGAACUGGNAUGUUGGGUGCAAUUUGGCACGCAGUAUCGGAGCUAACGCGUUAAGUUCGCCGCCUGGGGAGUANNGUCGCAAGACUGAAACUCAAAUGAAUUGACGGGAAGGG